rnacentral:rRNA from 1 species
CGUCCAGACUCCUACGGGAGGCAGCAGUGGGGAAUAUUGGGCAAUGGGCGCAAGCCUGACCCAGCAACGCCGCGUGAAGGAAGAAGGCUUUCGGGUUGUAAACUUCUUUUUUGAGGGACGAUAGUGACGGUACCUCAGGAAUAAGCCACGGCUAACUACGUGCCAGCAGCCGCGGUAAUACGUAGGUGGCAAGCGUUAUCCGGAUUUACUGGGUGUAAAGGGCGUGUAGGCGGGAUGGUAAGUCAGAUGUGAAAACUAUGGGCUCAACCCAUAGCCUGCAUUUGAAACUAUCGUUCUUGAGUGUUGGAGAGGCAGGCGGAAUUCCGUGUGUAGCGGUGAAAUGCGUAGAUAUUAGGAGGAACACCAGUGGCGAAGGCGGUCUGCUGGACAGCAACUGACGCUGAGGCGCGAAAGCGUGGGGAGCAAACAGGAUUAGAUACCCUUGUA